rnacentral:rRNA from 1 species
CCUACGGGAGGCAGCAGUGGGGAAUAUUGGGCAAUGGAGGAAACUCUGACCCAGCAAUGCCGCGUGAAUGAAGAAGGUCUUCGGAUUGUAAAGUUCUUUAGUCAGGGAAGAAUAAAAUGACGGUACCUGCAGAAUAAACUCAGGCUAACUACGUGCCAGCAGCCGCGGGAAUACGUAGGGAGCAAGCGUUGUUCGGAAUGACGGGGCGUAAAGGGUGCGUAGGCGGUUAAACUAGUUAGAAGGGGAAUACUCAGGGCUUAACCCGGGUGCUGCAUCUAACACUGGCAGACUUGAGUGCAGUAGAGGUAGGCGGAAUUCGUGGUGUAGCGGUGAAAUGCAUAGAGAUCACGAAGAACCCCGAUUGCGAAGGCAGCCUGCCGGGGUGCGACUGACGCUGAGGCUCGAAGGUGCGGGUAUCAAACAGGAUUAGAUACCCUAGUAGUC